rnacentral:misc_RNA from 1 species
AAGUCGUAACAAGGUUUCCGUAGGUGAACCUGCGGAAGGAUCAUUAACACAAAACAAUACACUGACCUUAUGGCCUAAACAACCAUGUCGUCUAUGUAUAGUUCAUCUAAACCCGCGCUCCCUUUUUUUUCACACCUUUCAACCCCAACAUUUAAUAACGAAGAAUUUAUUAUAUAGUCUGUUAUGUGUAUGAGCAAUCAUUACAUAGCAUGAAUAUAUAAGACAAUUAUAACAAUUGUAAACAUACAACUGUUAACAAUGGAUAUCUAGGCUCUC